rnacentral:tRNA from 1 species
GCCGAAGUAGCUCAGUUGGCAGAGCAGCGGUUUCGUAAACCGUUGGUCGUGGGUUCGAGUCCCACCUUCGGCU